GAUACAAACACUUAGAAUCAUUCAAGCUUGAAUGAGUAUAACGAAACUGGCUGGAAGCGAAGUAAUUAGGAAGAACGGCAGUCAGAAAAAAUGAAUUUAGCGGCUUGGGUGGUCAGCAGGACAGGACUGAGCGCCGCAAGAAAUGACUUGCAGGAAAUCACGAUGAGAGCCGUUUAUGGAGAUGAUUUCUCCACCACUACAUUAACCCAGAAAAAAU